CCGCGCUGGCGAUAAAACUGGACGCUUAUCGUUUUCGUGCGGCGAGCAUGAAAUUUGAUUCACGGAUGCAGAAGCCGCAAAAGUUGAAGGUGGAACACGGUGAAUUAUGAAGCGGCGCCGCAAGCGUCGGGGGUAUAAAUCCGUGGAGAGGCUGAGAGAUAAUACUACCCGCUAUCCACACAAUGACACAAUGUGAACAGGUGUUCCAAAACCCGGACCCGGAGAAACAUUCCUCGGACAGGUGUCUCACAGCAGAGACGCUGAUGAAAUGCCUUUCGAGUCGAAUGACAGAAUAAUUCGCGAGUACCUUGAUAUACGUAGCCGACCGGCAAAGAUGCCGGACAUUUCGAGAGCAGGAGCGACCCAGAAGCCGACGAAGGAAUGCCUAUAUGUCCAUGUUGACGAUUGAUGAAUUUAAUCUGAGAACUGUGAGAAUUCUUGCUAAGCAAUCAACACAUUAGCAAAGCAAUAUAAUGCAACAGCGCAAUAGUCCGCAUUGCAGUUAAACGCCAGACGAUCCCACCACGAAGGGUGCGCUCAGCGGUUUACGAAACUUCAUAUCCUGCCUCCUUAAUAGCACCCUAAAGAUAACGGGUAGAGAUGGCAAGAGAUGACGCGAUGCUGCGGCUGGAAGUGCAUCUUCCAUCGCGUGAGCGCAACGUGUAAGGAAUCGUGACUAAUGGUACCUGUCGAUGGAAGGAUGGAUCCUGCUACUUCGACGCUGAACAACAUCCCUCACAUCCUACCGUAACAGCCGUUUUGACGAUUCAGACCACACAGCCAAAGUAUUUUGGGAAACAUCUUAAAAACGAUAUAUAUCAUUUUGUAAGACACGUCGUAAAUGAACUCUUAAAAUGAGAAAUUAACCGUGACGAAGGACAAAUGUGAUAA